rnacentral:pre_miRNA from 1 species
UAUGUACUCCCUCCGUCCGAAAAUACUCGUCGGAGAAAUGGAUGUAUUUAGACAUAUUUUAAUUCUAGAUACAUCUAUUUUUAUCAAUUUCUUCGACAAGUAUUUUGGGACGGAGGGAGUAUAUA